rnacentral:rRNA from 1 species
UACGUAGGGGGCAAGCGUUGUCCGGAUUUAUUGGGCGUAAAGAGCGUGUAGGCGGCCAAACAGGUCAGCUGUGAAAACUCGAGGCUCAACCUCGAGACGUCGGUUGAAACCGUUUGGCUAGAGUCCGGUAGGGGACCAUGGAAUUCCUGGUGUAGCGGUGAAAUGCGCAGAUAUCAGGAGGAACACCAGUAGCGAAGGCGGUGGUCUGGGCCGGUAUUGACGCUGAGGAGCGAAAGCGUGGGGAGCGAACAGG